rnacentral:rRNA from 1 species
AGCAGCCGCGGUAAUUCCAGCUCCAAUAGCGUAUAUUAAAGUUGUUGCAGUUAAAAAGAUCGUAGUUGAAUUUCGGGGUCAGUAGGUUGGUCGUGCCACUGGUAUGUACUGGCCUCACUGAUUCCUCCUUCCUGAUGAACCGUAAUGCCAUUAAUUUGGUGUUGCGGGGAAUCUGGACUGUUACUUUGAAAAAAUUAGAGUGUUUAAAGCAGGCUAACGCUUGAAUACAUUAGCAUGGAAUAAUGGAAUAGGACGUUCGAUCCUAUUUUGUUGGUUUCUAGGAUUGACGUAAUGAUUAAUAGGGAUAGUUGGGGGCAUUAGUAUUCAAUUGUCAGAGGUGAAAUUCUUGGAUUUAUUGAAGACUAACUACUGCGAAAGCAUUUGCCAAGGAUGUUUUCAUUAAUCAAGAACGAAAGUUAGGGGAUCGAAGACGAUCAGAUACCGUCGUAGUCUUAACCAUAAACUAUGCCGACUAGGGAUCGGAUGAUGUUAAUUUUUUAAUGACUCAUUCGGCGCCUUACG